GGCGACUCUGGCAGCUGCGGCUGCGGCGAGGUGAGGUGGUGAUUGAUUUUUGAUGACAUUUGGAAGCAUACUUGCAAAUCAAUAUCAAGUGUUGAAUUUUUUUCUUUUCUUUUUUGUGGACUGAUACUAGUUCUACUUGUAAAUCAAGAUCAAGUGUUGAUUUUUUUUGUGGACUGAUAUAUAGUUAAUUUUGGGAUUAGUUGUGAUGGUUUUUUUGUUAUACUUAAUGGAUUAUUAUUAAAUUUGUUUGAUGGAUA